UACAGAGGGUGCGAGCGUUGUUCGGAAUUACUGGGCGUAAAGGGCGCGUAGGCGGCCUGCUAAGUCGAACGUGAGAUCCCCGAGCUCAACUCGGGAACUGCGUCCGAUACUGGUUGGCUUGAAUCCGGGAGAGGGAUGCGGAAUUCCAGGUGUAGCGGUGAAAUGCGUAGAUAUCUGGAGGAACACCGGUGGCGAAGGCGGCAUCCUGGACCGGCAUUGACGCUGAGGCGCGAAAGCCAGGGGAGCAAACGGG
rnacentral:rRNA from 1 species